rnacentral:piRNA from 1 species
UUGGAAAGCAUGAACUUCUCAUUGGGGUCUU